GACGAACGCUGGCGGCGUGCCUAAUACAUGCAAGUCGAGCGAAGCGACGGAUGGGUGAGUAACGCGUGGGUAACCUGCCCUUAAGUCUGGGAUACCAUUUGGAAACAGAUGCUAAUACCGGAUACUAAAGGAUGGACCUGCGAUGCAUUAGCUAGUUGGUAAGGUAACGGCCUACCAAGGCGAUGAUGCAUAGCCGAGGUGAGAGACUGAUCGGCCACAUUGGGACUGAGACACGGUCCAGACUCCUACGGGAGGCAGCAGUGGGGAAUAUUGCACAAUGGGCGAAAGCCUGAUCCAGCCAUGCCGCGUGUAUGAAGAAGGUCUUCGGGUUGUAAAGUACUUUCAGCGAGGAGGCGUUACUCGCAGAAGAAGCACCGGCUAACUCCGUGCCAGCCGCCGCGGUAAUUC
rnacentral:rRNA from 1 species